AACGAACGCUGGCGGCGUGGAUAAGACAUGCAAGUCGAACGCUGACUUCAGGGUAGCAAUAUUCUGAAGUCGGAGUGGCGCAAGGGUGCGUAACACGUGGGUAAUCUGCCGUGAAGGUUGGGGAUAACUUGCUGAAAGGCGAGCUAAUACCGAAUGUGAAAAUUAAGAGGCAUCUCUAGAUUUUCAAAGUUGGGGACCGCAAGGCCUGACGCUUCACGAUGAGCCCGCGGCCUAUCAGCUAGUUGGUGAGGUAACGGCUCACCAAGGCUAAGACGGGUAGCUGGUCUGAGAGGACGACCA
rnacentral:rRNA from 1 species